AUUGAACGCUGGCGGCAGGCCUAACACAUGCAAGUCGAACGGUAACAGGAAGAAGCUUGCUUCUCUGCUGACGAGUGGCGGACGGGUGAGUAAUGUCUGGGAAACUGCCUGAUGGAGGGGGAUAACUACUGGAAACGGUAGCUAAUACCGCAUAACGUCGCAAGACCAAAGAGGGGGACCUUCGGGCCUCUUGCCAUCGGAUGUGCCCAGAUGGGAUUAGCUAGUAGGUGGGGUAACGGCUCACCUAGGCGACGAUCCCUAGCUGGUCUGAGAGGAUGACCAGCCACACUGGAACUGAGACACGGUCCAGACUCCUACGGGAGGCAGCAGUGGGGAAUAUUGCACAAUGGGCGCAAGCCUGAUGCAGCCAUGCCGCGUGUAUGAAGAAGGCCUUCGGGUUGUAAAGUACUUUCAGCGGGGAGGAAGGGAGUAAAGUUAAUACCUUUGCUCAUUGACGUUACCCGCAGAAGAAGCACCGGCUAACUCCGUG
rnacentral:rRNA from 1 species